rnacentral:rRNA from 1 species
GACGAACGCUGGCGGCGUGCUUAACACAUGCAAGUCGAACGGAAAGGCCCUGCUUUUGUGGGGUGCUCGAGUGGCGAACGGGUGAGUAACACGUGAGUAACCUGCCCUUGACUUUGGGAUAACUUCAGGAAACUGGGGCUAAUACCGGAUAGGAGCUCCUGCUGCAUGGUGGGGGUUGGAAAGUUUCGGCGGUUGGGGAUGGGCUCGCGGCUUAUCAGCUUGUUGGUGGGGUAGUGGCUUACCAAGGCUUUGACGGGUAGCCGGCCUGAGAGGGUGACCGGCCACAUUGGGACUGAGAUACGGCCCAGACUCCUACGGGAGGCAGCGGUGGGGAAUAUUGCACAAUGGGCGGAAGCCUGAUGCAGCAACGCCGCGUGCGGGAUGACGGCCUUCGGGUUGUAAACCGCUUUCGCCUGUGACGAAGCGUGAGUGACGGUAAUGGGUAAAGAAGCACCGGCUAACUACGUG